rnacentral:tRNA from 1 species
GAGAGAAUAGCUUAGUGGUAGAGCCUCUGCUUUGCAUGCAGUUAGUCCUGGGUUCAAUCCCAGGUACUGCCA